UACGUAGGGUGCGAGCGUUGUUCGGAAUUACUGGGCGUAAAGGGCUCGUAGGCGGCCAACUAAGUCAGACGUGAAAUCCCUCGGCUUAACCGGGGAACUGCGUCUGAUACUGGAUGGCUUGAGGUUGGGAGAGGGAUGCGGAAUUCCAGGUGUAGCGGUGAAAUGCGUAGAUAUCUGGAGGAACACCGGUGGCGAAGGCGGCAUCCUGGACCAAUUCUGACGCUGAGGAGCGAAAGCCAGGGGAGCAAACGGG
rnacentral:rRNA from 1 species